UGGGGAAUAUUGGACAAUGGGCGAAAGCCUGAUCCAGCAACGCCGCGUGAGGGAUGACGGCCUUCGGGUUGUAAACCUCUUUCAGCAGGGACGAAGCGCAAGUGACGGUACCUGCAGAAGAAGCACCGGCCAACUACGUGCCAGCAGCCGCGGUAAUACGUAGGGUGCGAGCGUUGUCCGGAAUUAUUGGGCGUAAAGGGCUCGUAGGCGGUUUGUCACGUCGGGAGUGAAAACACGGGGCUUAACUCCGUGCCUGCUUCCGAUACGGGCAGACUAGAGGUAUGCAGGGGAGAAUGGAAUUCCUGGUGUAGCGGUGAAAUGCGCAGAUAUCAGGAGGAACACCGGUGGCGAAGGCGGUUCUCUGGGCAUUACCUGACGCUGAGGAGCGAAAGUGUGGGGAGCGAACA
rnacentral:rRNA from 1 species